UACACUUCUAUAAAAACUGAAGAGCUCCAUAAAGAAAAAUGAAGUCAACAAAAAUGUCAAUGAGUCCCACUAAUAUUUGGAAUGGAACAAGGCUCAGUCACUCAACCUCAUGUUGGAGGAAUUGGUUUUUUUUUCUCCUCAUAAUGCAAAUGAAUACCUUCGGUAAGGAAAUUUUUGUAUCCAUACUCAAUAGAAAAUGAGUCAAAGCAUCUCAAAGAUAUAUAAUCUCAAAAUCGAGGCAGCCUAAAUUCUAAGUUAAAUUUAAUGGUGUUUAAUGAAAAGAACAGAAAAAUAUGAAAUGACCAGACCAUUUGUGAUGAUGACAUUCCAAAGGUGGUGUUCAUGUCUCAUGAACUUUCUUCACGACUGGGGGUCACCCACAUCGAAUGAUGCGUGCAUUGAACUCUUUAACAUAAUGAAUAUUUACAUACAUAUAUAUGUAUGCAAACGUUGACAUCAUCUCUUACGACAUAAAGAGCUCAUUAAGCUGCUUUAAUGAGGUAGACAUUUAUGUAAAUAGGUGAUUUUAAUCAGUAUAUUAAAAAGCGAGGACAAAUGUAUAUUCCUGAUUUUGUUUUAAAAUCAUUUUUGCUUUUUCAAAGCAUUCCCUAGAUCAAGUAGGAUCAGACUUUUCUCUCCUGUGAAUAAAAAAAAAAAAACACGACAAUAAAAAUAAAUAAAUGGAAUGUUUUCUCAAAUUUUCAAAAAAAUUACAUAGUAACAUAAAAUUUCUACAAAAAUAUUACAUCGAUACUUUUCUAUGUUACAUAUAACGUGUAGGGGAGACUGAGGACAUUGUAACACUUUAGCUCAGAGUUGAUUGAGUAAGGAAUAAAUAUUUAAACCUUUCAAUAUGAGCUAAACACCUGAAAGAUUUUUUAUUGUU
rnacentral:lncRNA from 1 species